GACAGAGGUGCCGAGCGUUAGGCGGAAUCACUGGGCUUAAAGCGUGUGUAGGCGGACUUCUAAGUACCUUGUGAAAUCCCACGGCUCAACCGUGGAACUGCUUGGUAUACUGGUUGUCUUGAGCCACUUAGGGGCAGUCGGAACAGACGGUGGAGCGGUGAAAUGCGUAGAUAUCGGGAGGAACACCUGUGGCGAAGGCGGCCAUCUGGACGGUAACUGACGCUGAGACGCGAAAGCGUGGGUAGCAAACAGG
rnacentral:rRNA from 1 species